UUUUUAAGGAUUGCUAAUUUUGUUGUGUGUAUAAGUGUUGGUUGUGCAAGUCUUGAGUAUGGAUUGAUGAUUACUUUGAGAGUAUUGGCUUGGCUUGUUGAACCCAUGAUGAAGAUCCUUUCUAUAUUUAUUUCAUGUUUAAAAGUAGAGAA